rnacentral:rRNA from 1 species
GUCCUUUGUUGUCCGACUCUGUUGCCUCCGGGGCAACCCUGCCUUCUGGCGGGGGCUCCAGGUGGACACUUCAAACUCUUGCGUAACUUUGCAAUCAGACUAAACUUAAUUAACAAAUUAAAACAUUUAACAACGGAUCUCUUGGUUCUGGCAUCCAUAAAAAACGCAUCUAAAUGCUAUAAGUAAUGUGAAUUGCACAAUUCAUUGAAUCAUCGAAUCUUUGAACGCACAUUGCGCCACCUGGUAUUCCGGGGGGCAUGCCAGUUCAAGCGUCGUUUCACCACUCAAACCCCUCUUGCUAGUGGGCAACCCGGACCUCCGCGUGCCUCAAAUCCUCCGGCUGGCUCUUCUAGUCUCCUAACCGUAGUGCAAACUAUUCACUAAAAGGUGUUCGGGAGGCUACGCGCCACCACAACCCCAUUUCUUCGGUUGACCUCCGAUCACGUAAGGAUACCCGCUCAAGUUA